rnacentral:rRNA from 2 species
UGGGGAAUAUUGGGCAAUGGGCGCAAGCCUGACCCAGCAACGCCGCGUGAAGGAAGAAGGCUUUCGGGUUGUAAACUUCUUUUGUCAGGGAAGAGUAGAAGACUGUACCUGGCGAAUAAGCCACGGCUAACUACGUGCCAGCAGCCGCGGUAAUACGUAGGUGGCAAGCGUUGUCCGGAUUUACUGGGUGUAAAGGGCGUGUAGCCGGGUCGGUAAGUCAGAUGUGAAAUCUAUGAGCUCAACUCAUAAACUGCAUUUGAAACUGCUGAUCUUGAGUAUCGGAGAGGCAAUCGGAAUUCCUAGUGUAGCGGUGAAAUGCGUAGAUAUUAGGAGGAACACCAGUGGCGAAGGCGGAUUGCUGGACGACAACUGACGGUGAGGCGCGAAAGCGUGGGGAGCAAACAGG